GAUUUCUUGAUGGCUGACUAUGAGUACUGAAAACUCCAACCCGGCAGCGUGUAGUGCUGUGUGCCUCUCCUUAUAGAGUUAAACUCAGCCAGGCCUGCCCGAGAGAAACCCUAAACUGGCGCCACAUUCCUGCUGGAACUCUGUCACAGUCUCAGCUCAAACUGGCCUCCAGAUGGACAAGGUGAAGAGACAGAGGUCAUACCCAUGAGGAAGAGGCUCUUGGCAGACAUGGAAUCUACUGUCACCUUAUUCUUGGAUUCUUAAGCCUCGUAAACACUGUGAGUCCAGCUGGACCUGUCAAUCACCUCGCCUGGAGACUACCCCUCAGGAAAACUGAUUCACCUGAAGAUGUUACAGAGAUGGGGGAAAUAAUUAUUCUCUUAAUGAGAUAACAUGUGUGUACCUCCCUGAGAAGUCCCUCCCUCAGUCCAGCUGUUUGCAGAUCUUUCCUACUAAGACAGCCUGCUUUCCCCAGUUCUAACUCCAAAACUGUAACUUCUCCUUUCCCCUUGUCUCAUCUUUGGCUAAAGGCCAAAACCUCCUCCUGCUUCCAACCUCUGUACACUCUCUUUCUUUAACCCCCUCCAAGCCCCAGUUACUUGGCGCCCUUCCUUGCAGAACCUGCCAACUCUCCUGAAACCUACCUCGGAAGGCAUGUCAUGCUCUCCUCUCCAGCUCCCCUUUCCAGGCAGCAGUUGAGGUUUGUAGCUUCCUGACCUUGUGGUUUACUCCUGAGCGCCAAUAAAAGAGUCCACAAGCUUC
rnacentral:lncRNA from 1 species